UUUAAAGAUUUAAAAGAUUGCUAUGUGAGUAUAAUUGUUACAUGGCUAAAUGCUGCAUGUGAAUUGUGAGUUUAAUUAGUUAUGAUAAUUAAAUGUGAAUAUUGGAUGAAUUUUAGUGUAAAUUGAUUUUCUGUAAUUGUUAUUUAUACGUGCCAGAACUGUGAGUUUAAUUAUUGGUAUUAUCAGAAUGAGUCAUAUUUUAUUUAGAUAUUUUCAAAUGAUUUAUAUACGAAUAUAUGAAUAUCCUUUCAAAACUCAUUUCAAAUAUUAUUUCUAAAAAUACAGAGAUUUGUUAUGUAAAAGUUAGAUGGUUGAUAUGUGAAUACAUGUAUUACAUGAUUAAGUGCUACGUGUGUAAUGGUCGUGUAACCAGUUAUGGUUGUUUACGAAUAUUAUUUGAGUAUUUGGUAAAUUAGUUGAUAACUGGUUUUCUAUUUUGAUUGCUUAUAUAUGUUGCAAUCACGAGUUUUCAAUUUUCAUAUUCUCAGAAUAAAAUAUGGAACAUUUGGGUAUUUUCCUGUUAAUUUAUGAAUAAUAUGUGAUAUUUAUAUGAAUUGUUGUGAGGCUUGUGUUAUCUGGUUUAUUGAACUGGCUACUCAUAUGUUUUCGGAUUUGAGAUAUUUCAAAUUUUUAUAUGAUCAGGAUAAAAUAUAGUUUAUUUAGAUAUGUUCAUAUCGAUUUUUGGAUUGCUACGUGAUUUUAUAAUCGAUUUAUGGAUUUAAUUUCGUUUAAUUAUUAAUUAUAUUAAAAUAGUUAUUUAAUAUUUUCAACCCCGCGGGCGUUCGGGAAAAUUUCGCCAUUAAGCUAUUUGGGACAUUCUGGGCAUUUCUCGUGUUUUAACUUUUUCAAUCUGGAGUACGGUUUGUCCCGUAAAUGAUCCGAUACGGUUUUAUUAAUAUUUUUUUUAAAGUUAAUAAUUAUCUGGUUGUCUCGUAAUGCGUGAAGUAUAUUCCAGGAAUAUUCCAAAGCAUAUUCAAGGAAUAUUCCAAAGCAUAUUCAAGGAAUAUUCUCUUAUCUUCUUCUAUAAAUAUCCUUUACCAGUUUAUUUCGCACGUACAAUCAUUUCGUCAGUUUCUCUGCACGAAUACCGAGAGAAGACGAACGGGUGUUCUUCGUGUUCUUCAUAUUCAAACGAGGAUUUGAAGGCGUUAUUGGAAUCCGAUGGAGGCGUAUAAAUAGUCAAAACGAAGCUCUCGAUGCGUAGAAUAUAGUUUAAUCAUCAAAACGUGUGCAGGGUUUGGACGAGACGGAUACGAUCGAAGACGUUCAGAAGGUCAAACGAUGUUACAAAGCGAAUAAGGAACGAAUCGAGUAAACGAAGCAGUGUGGCGAAUAGAGUAUAGCCAAAGAUGGUCUAGAGACUAUGAUAUGCAUACAGUGUGAAAGUGGAAAGAUGAGAUUGAGAUAUGAGACUGGAAUCGGAUUUAAGAAAAGCUUAGAGAUGAAUUGCUUGAUUGAGGUUGCGAGUAUGGCUAAGGCUAAGCGAGGAGUCAGAGUUAUAGAAUAUCCAGAGGACAAGUGGAAUGUCCAUGGAGAUUGUCAAGGUUGGUUCUAGAUAGAAUUGUUGAGAUUCAGUUGUAAUCAUAAUUUAAAUAGAUUGGCAGUGAUUCUUCUCAUCGAAGAUGAUCUGAGGUUGUAAGACAUUGUUUAUUCAUAGUGGUUGAUUCUAAUUUCAAUACUGUGACCUGGAUGCGAUCCUGUUUUUAGGGGGUUAAAGUGUUUUCUUUUAAAUCUUUUAUUAAAGUCUUCAAGUUUUAAAUCCUUUGAUUUUAUUACCUUUUUCAAAAAUACAGGUUUUCAAAAGUGUUUUAGAAUGAUUUUGUGUGGUGACGUCAGAAUCCAGACCCCCGGAUUCUCGGGCUGUCACAGUUGGUAUCAGAGCAACAGGUUAUAAGUUAUUGAAAUUAGAAUAUAGAUUAUGGUUAUAAGUUUUAUAGAGAAGAAGUGUUCAGUGACCUCAUAUAGAGGUAUUGUGAGACUGUCUGGGGAUAGUCUAGAGAGGUAAUCGGAAUAGAAUCUAGAUAGUUAAAUUAAGUUGAGGGUACAUGUUUAGAUGGAUCAUGGUUCCUAAGUCUAGACACUUGGUUUCUAGUAUGGGGACUGAUUAAGAUAGUGAAUUGUGAUAAGGGUCAGAGUCAGACCUAGUCAAAAGAGUAUUAAUAAUGAAUGAUUAAGUUAAGAAUGAUAAAGAUGCAUGGUUUGGAGUAUUCUGACCAUGUUACAUAUUUGAAAGUGGUUUAUCGUUUGAAUUGAGAUGUAGAAGAAUGGGUGUUGAAUAUGAGAUAUUGUGAAUUAGAAAGAGAGUUUUGUAGAUAGAUGUGAUGUGAAUGAUAGAGAGUAUGUGGAAUUGAGUCUAGUUAUCAGAAGUAAUAUUGUGAGUGAGAUAGAACGUUAGUCUUAACGACGACGCUUCAAGCUAACCGGGAUUUCUUCUGAUAUCAAGAUGAGCCAACUUCAUUGCGAACGAUAAUGUCUACAAGGGAUCUUACGAAGCUAUCACGAGCGAGAACGUCGAGAAGAGGACAUACCUUGAACAACGGCUUAUGGGAGCAGAGCAAGAAUUUGAGAAGACCUUGGCAAUAUCUUUCUUCAAUAAAAACUUAUUUUAAUUCUUCUCAUCAUCAUUAAGUCCUUAUUAGAAUACCUUUUCUACAAAAGUUUUGAUAAAUGAGAUUUCUUAUUUCUCGAAUGACGAGAAAACAUUGGUAUUGAUUAUUGAUAUUGGUAUUGAUUCUUGGUGUGUGAUAAAGGUUAUUGUGAGAAGACAAUGAUAUUUCUUGAUAUUCCUUGAUAUUCUUUGAUAUACCUUGAUAUCUCUUGAUAUUCUUUGGCAGUCUUUGAGAUUCCUUGGUAUUUCUUCCAUAUGAUUGGGAUGAACAACCCUAUGUAUAGGGGACACAAGGUAUACCUGUCUGUGUGAUAAGAGUUGGAUGGGACGCCAUCACUUGUGUGUGUUGUACUUACAAGAAGGUUAACAACCUUUAGUAGUGUCUAAUAUGGGCACGCAACACUAAGUUCGUUUGAUCAUAUUGAUCUCUCAGUCACUCUCUUAUUCAAACAUGACCUAUUUUGAAAACAUUUUGUUCCAUUCUAAGUUCUUAAAGAGUGAUUCUAAGAACUGAGCUCUGUAAUGGUGAAAGUUUUAAUACUCUUAUUUGUUUCAAAGUCAAAGGUAUGCCAAGGUCGAACGAAGGUGGGAGGAUGAUAGUACGAAGGAUGUACAUUUUCGUUCUCUUCGCGGAUUCUGAGGACAGAAUCCUUAUAAGGAGGGUAGAAUGUAACAUCCCAGAUUUUCAGAAUUAGUUUAUUAAUAUAGAAAUAAAUUUUUGAAUAUUACUAUUGGCUUUAAUUGAUUUCUUCUGAUAAGAUGAACGGUCUGUGUAAUAUGAGUAUAAUUGUGAUGUGAAUUAUAAGGUUAAAGACGGAAGAUGCAUUCUUCUGUUGUGAUUUCGUUUAUUUUAGCGACCCGGAUUUUUCAAAAAAAUUAUUUAUCGUUAUGAAAGUUAUUUUCUUAGAAAGAAGGAAUAAAGGUUAAUAUUUUAUUCCAGUUUAAGAUGUUUUCAAAAUUUUAUAUUCCGGGUUAUUGUAGUAUCAAUACAUGGUUGUCUUUUCAAAAUUAUAUUUUAUAUAAUUGAUUUUAAAGAUUUAAAAGAUUGCUAUGUGAGUAUAAUUGUUACAUGGCUAAAUGCUGCAUGUGAAUUGUGAGUUUAAUUAGUUAUGAUAAUUAAAUGUGAAUAUUGGAUGAAUUUUAGUGUAAAUUGAUUUUCUGUAAUUGUUAUUUAUACGUGCCAGAACUGUGAGUUUAAUUAUUGGUAUUAUCAGAAUGAGUCAUAUUUUAUUUAGAUAUUUUCAAAUGAUUUAUAUACGAAUAUAUGAAUAUCCUUUCAAAACUCAUUUCAAAUAUUAUUUCUAAAAAUACAGAGAUUUGUUAUGUAAAAGUUAGAUGGUUGAUAUGUGAAUACAUGUAUUACAUGAUUAAGUGCUACGUGUGUAAUGGUCGUGUAACCAGUUAUGGUUGUUUACGAAUAUUAUUUGAGUAUUUGGUAAAUUAGUUGAUAACUGGUUUUCUAUUUUGAUUGCUUAUAUAUGUUGCAAUCACGAGUUUUCAAUUUUCAUAUUCUCAGAAUAAAAUAUGGAACAUUUGGGUAUUUUCCUGUUAAUUUAUGAAUAAUAUGUGAUAUUUAUAUGAAUUGUUGUGAGGCUUGUGUUAUCUGGUUUAUUGAACUGGCUACUCAUAUGUUUUCGGAUUUGAGAUAUUUCAAAUUUUUAUAUGAUCAGGAUAAAAUAUAGUUUAUUUAGAUAUGUUCAUAUCGAUUUUUGGAUUGCUACGUGAUUUUAUAAUCGAUUUAUGGAUUUAAUUUCGUUUAAUUAUUAAUUAUAUUAAAAUAGUUAUUUAAUAUUUUCAACCCCGCGGGCGUUCGGGAAAAUUUCGCCAUUAAGCUAUUUGGGACAUUCUGGGCAUUUCUCGUGUUUUAACUUUUUCAAUCUGGAGUACGGUUUGUCCCGUAAAUGAUCCGAUACGGUUUUAUUAAUAUUUUUUUUAAAGUUAAUAAUUAUCUGGUUGUCUCGUAAUGCGUGAAGUAUAUUCCAGGAAUAUUCCAAAGCAUAUUCAAGGAAUAUUCCAAAGCAUAUUCAAGGAAUAUUCUCUUAUCUUCUUCUAUAAAUAUCCUUUACCAGUUUAUUUCGCACGUACAAUCAUUUCGUCAGUUUCUCUGCACGAAUACCGAGAGAAGACGAACGGGUGUUCUUCGUGUUCUUCAUAUUCAAACGAGGAUUUGAAGGCGUUAUUGGAAUCCGAUGGAGGCGUAUAAAUAGUCAAAACGAAGCUCUCGAUGCGUAGAAUAUAGUUUAAUCAUCAAAACGUGUGCAGGGUUUGGACGAGACGGAUACGAUCGAAGACGUUCAGAAGGUCAAACGAUGUUACAAAGCGAAUAAGGAACGAAUCGAGUAAACGAAGCAGUGUGGCGAAUAGAGUAUAGCCAAAGAUGGUCUAGAGACUAUGAUAUGCAUACAGUGUGAAAGUGGAAAGAUGAGAUUGAGAUAUGAGACUGGAAUCGGAUUUAAGAAAAGCUUAGAGAUGAAUUGCUUGAUUGAGGUUGCGAGUAUGGCUAAGGCUAAGCGAGGAGUCAGAGUUAUAGAAUAUCCAGAGGACAAGUGGAAUGUCCAUGGAGAUUGUCAAGGUUGGUUCUAGAUAGAAUUGUUGAGAUUCAGUUGUAAUCAUAAUUUAAAUAGAUUGGCAGUGAUUCUUCUCAUCGAAGAUGAUCUGAGGUUGUAAGACAUUGUUUAUUCAUAGUGGUUGAUUCUAAUUUCAA